rnacentral:lncRNA from 1 species
UCUUGCAUGCAAAUGCUACAAAAUUCAGAGGGCAUCUGGAGCUCUCAAAAUCCCUACAAUAUAGAACUGAUAUCUAUAUUUAGCAACUGGGUGUAUUUUAUGCUUUGGUGCAAAUUGCCUCCAGCUUAUCUUUCUCACAUAUGUCCACGAUCCCCAUAUAUAGGUUAGUAGUUCAUGUUCUUUUUUAUGUAUUUUUUUCAAAAAAGUUCCAAGUUUAGUUGUAAGUUCAGCUUAAAAUUUUCAUCUGGGUCGGUUGCAUGUUUCGUUUUCAAGUUAGAGAUAGUUUUUCUUUUUGAGCUCCUCAUGGUAGUGCCAAAUACAUAAGAGAAGAGUGACAUAUAUAAAAAGUUGAUGAAGUAAUGCAUUAAUAGACAUUCUUCUCUCCCUUGAUUUGCUCGUAGCUAGCUUAGAAUUUGAGCAUUAAGUUCUCAAUAAAAUUGUUUCAACACAAAAACUGACGCACUUGUUGAUUUGCUAUUGGAUGUGAAUCUCACCAAUAUUAAAGGGUGUGUCAACAAGUAUGUGAUAAUUUUGUGUGUCCAACUAGCAUCACCCUUUAAUUAGGGUGAGAAUAAUGAAGAAAAUGAAACUUUGCUAUUGUAUAUAAGAGCCUAUGAAACACGGCCAUGUGUAUAAUCCACGUAUUAUAAUAUUACAUCACAAGUUGUGAAGACCACAUUUUGUAAACUACAUCUAAACCGUCUCUCAAAUAGAAGUAGGGUCCACAAUCCAAGUAGGUUCCACUUCUAUUAGAAGGAUAAUUUUUAUGUGAUUUAGAAAAGGUGAUCUCUCUAGCGCUUUCAAUAUUUUAAUGCAUUGACAUGAUAUAUACCAUAUAACCUUAUUCCAGUACCUAAUAAAAAAUAUACCUUUCAGUAAAACACAUUAACUUUUCAGAGUCAUACAAAAUAACAUUUCAAAGUCUAUGACAACGAGGACCCAAAAAUUAGCUAUAGACCACUUCCAAACAUCUGCCCUAUCUAGUACUUAUUAGAACAUGCUAAUUGAUAAGAAAUUUAAUCUAAGCAUACUCUGUCAGCGCUUAAAACCUACCUCUUGUGGUGCCGACUAUAUGGAUACGUGUUCCUGCUGGUUGAUUGAAUUACAUACUUGCCUUCUACGAUUUAAAAAGAAGGAAAUGUACUAUAACUGCAUUUGGCAAGCUUUACAGCAAAGCAAGUAUUCAUCAUUCAUGUAAUGUAUAUAUAACUUUAUUAUUCCAUCUCUCAUAUCAGAUAUCAUGAUAUAGACAGUAACCGGAGCACUCGAUCGUCUUUCCACUAAUGUUUUGGGUGCUAAAUUUGUGAGCAGUCAAUAGAAGAAACAACCAUUCUGGUUAGGCAGAUACAUUAUAUAAAAGAACUUUUUCUCCUUUUUAGAGGAGUAAUAGAGAAGGAGCAAUAGAGAAAUUCGAACUCGGAGUCUCGGAUGCAAGGGUGAAUAUCCUUAACCAACUGAGCUACAUGCUCCUUGCAUUAUUGAAAAAAAUUAAAUACAAAGAUAUAGAACUCCAACUAUAUAUAGUAAUAUUAAUAUCAUUCAGUUGACAUACAAAGUAACAUUUCUACAAUCAAUCGACCACCUGGUCGAGUUUGUUAACAGCGUACAUGGCUGUUAGCUAUAGGUAGCACAUAAUAAAGUCCCAUGACAUGCAAAUAAACAAUGCUUCAUCAACUUCAUUUCUUCAAGCAAACUCAGCUCCAUGCACGGUCCGCUUGCUAACUAGAUGUAGAAAUUUCAAAGUGAUGACUAAUUUGAUGGGGUUAACUUACUACUCAAACAAACAGAAGUUUAGAGUUUAAUUAAGUUACAAUGUUGAUGCAGUAGUUUUAUUAUGUACAGGGAAAUGUUGAGAUCAAUAUCCUCUCGAUUAUCCCUAAUGUACUUAAAUCCUAUGAUCAGUAUGUAUAUAUAUAUAUACACACACACAUACACUACUAAAUGAUUAAUUUCAUAUGGUGUCGCUUCCUUACGAAUGUUUGAGUAUUAAUCCAUAUUUGUCUAAUACAUAAUAUAGACAUUUUAUUAACAGGGCAUGUAAUAUCAUGAGUAGCUAUUUCCCUUUGAGGCGUCAUCCUGGCUAAGUUGUGAAGCUACAAACUUGUCCAGCGCUCGCCAAUC